rnacentral:rRNA from 1 species
GACGAACGCUGGCGGCGUGCCUAAUACAUGCAAGUCGAACGCAUCCUUCGGGAUGAGUGGCGGACGGGUGAGUAACACGUAGGUAACCUGCCUAUCUGAUGGGGAUAACGCCUGGAAACGGGUGCUAAUACCCAAUAGAUUCCUCUAGGGCAUCUUAGGGGAAGGAAAGACGCGAAUGCGUCACAGAGAGAGGGGCCUGCGGCGCAUUAGCUAGUUGGUGGGGUAACGGCCUACCAAGGCAACGAUGCGUAGCCGACCUGAGAGGGUGAACGGCCAC